UUGGCCUCCUUUGCACCUCUUUGAGAGGUCACUGACCCAGCCUUUUGCCCUGAGCUCUCUUAGCUUAUUUGCCAUUUCAACCUUCAUAAUCCUGGCCACCCCAGGUCAGGCCCUCAUCACUCUCUCCUAGGUCACUGCAGCAGACUCCUGAGUGGACUCCCUGCCUCCAGUCUAUUCUUCACUCUGUUUCCAAAGGAACUUUCAUGAAGCACAGGGAAGACCAGGCCGAACAGCUUGUCCUGUCCAGGGUUCAUGCCCUAAGAAGGUGACUGAAGACGCUGGCUUCCGAAUACUCUAGCCUUUGACUGAAGGAGGCCACCAAGCUGGAUGACCUGGAGCUAUGGCAAAGAGCUAGUGGGAGUGGAGUUGGGAAAGGCCUGAACCACAAAGAUAUUUUGACUUUCCUGUAGGGCCCUGUGAGCCAAUGGGGAGCCAACCUGGAGGACUUCUGAAGGGACACCACUGCCCACAUCAAGGAGCAGGAAAGCAGGGUGCUCUAGCAGAUGUCUGAGUUGCAGAGGGCGACAACACAGUCUCAUAUCAGAGGGUAGAACUUCACAUCUUGAGCAACUACGGUCACCCUGAGUAUACCUGCAUUUACUCAUCUGGGUCCAUGGGAAGUAUGCCAAUUAGCCCCU